AGACAAGAGCAACAGGGUUUAAAAAACAGAUGUUAGAAAACUUUUUAGUUCAGAUAGAUUCAUGCUGUCCAUGGUUUCCAGAAGAACGAACUUUGGAAACUUUGGGAAAAUUUGGAGAAGUUCUGAGAACCACCCAGACAGAUUUUAUUACCCUCUGAAUCUGGGUAAUUAUAAAGGAUGCUAUUGACAAUAAAAAAGAUAAAGUGGCCUUGCAGAUGUUAGCAACUGCCCAGGAACAGCUUGAAGAACUUCAUCAAGAACACCUGUCAGAGAGGACUUUCUCAGAAGAAGGCUCUCUCAACAAUGAAUCAGAGAAGUAGAGAUACUGAUGAUGAGCUGUUAGGAGCCGCCCUCACAUUCGCCAUUAUAAGAUGGCGCCGACAUCCUGUGUUCUAAGUAGUAAACAAAUAAUCUGCUCUUGUGCCAGGUAGUUUUCCACUCCAUGAGCUCUGCCUUCCCCAUGACGACAACUCGGUUGAUGGGCUGCAGCCAAUCAGGGAGCAACACGUCUGAGGUGGAGGACAAUCUUCCAUAAAAGGGACAGGGUUUUGCCAUUCGUCUCUCUUCUCCUCUUGCUCCUGAAGAAGUAAGCAAUAAAGCUUUGCC
rnacentral:lncRNA from 1 species